rnacentral:lncRNA from 1 species
CUUAAAUUCACUUUGCAUAAUAUUUUCAGGACAUAUCUUUUAUAAAAUACAAAUCAUGUCUAUCAAUUCCAUUGUAUAAAUCCUUUGUUUCCAAUUUACUAUGGAAACCAAUUCAAAAUUCUUAAAAUGGCCUACAAUACCCAUUACAAUCUGGCUCUCCCUACUUCUUUAAUCUCACCCCUUAGCACAGUGCCCUAUAUUCUCUCAGCUUUCACUAUAAUUCCAUGAAUAUUCCAAACCAUCUGCUGGAAAUGCUCUCCCAGGUUAUUAAGACCUAGGUAAUCAGCAUGUAUUGUUCAGAGGUCAGCAUUAAUACCAUCUCCUUAGAGAAGCCAUGCUGAUUGCUUAUGACAUAAUUUGCCACUACAUUCUUGAUCUUGGUAGUUUUUGCUUUGUAUUAGUUUUUAAUUUUUUAAUGUUUAUUUAUUUCUGAGAGAGAGACAGAGACAGAGUGCAAGCAGGAGAAGGGCAGAGAAAGAGAGAGAGAUGGAAUCUGAAGCAGGCUUCAGGCUCUGAGACUGGAGCACAGGCUCUGUCAGCACAGUCUGAUGUGGGGCUUGAACUCAGGAACCACGAGAUCAUGACCUGAGCCAAAGUCAGACACUUAACCCACUGAGUCACCUAGGCUUCCUGGAUCUUGGUAGUUUUUAAAAUUCAUAACAAUUGAGUAUGUUAUUCACAGUUUUGCUUAAUUCCCAAUUUCCCAUUCUAUUGCAAGCUCCAUGAAGACAUGAAAUCAUGCCAAGCCUGAUCACCUGAAUGCCUCAAAAUAUCUGCUGCAAUGCCUGAUAUCUAGCAAAGACCCAAAUGUUUGAUAAUUGAAUGAACAGAAACAAUCAACGAACAAUUGUUAGAGCCAAGUCUAUGUUCCCCAACUGAUAUUUCAAUUUUAUGAAGUCCAUUCAAAAUUCCAGCUGCUGAGAGGAAAUUUGAGUAAUGUCUCUUGGUCAUCAUUUGUAUCAUCAGAACGAGAAACCAAGAAUGAGUCACAGACAAGAGGAAAUGAAGACAAUUGUAGCACAGUUUAUAUGUCAGAUUUGUGGUGCCAAGUCCUUUACAAGCCUUUUACAUGUGUUCUGGUAUUUUGCUAAUGUAGCUACAAUAUCUCCAGGGCCUUAACAUCCUUUCUUUCGUCUCUCAAAUGACCUAUAAAAGAUGGUUAGAAGAACAUAGAAUAAAAAAAGAAAAUGACCAGAGGGGUUUUCUGGU